rnacentral:rRNA from 1 species
AAUAGAUACCGGGUAGUCCAUGCCGUAAACGUUGGGAACUAGAUGUAGGGCCUGUUCCACGGGUUCUGUGUCGUAGCUAACGCAUUAAGUUCCCCGCCUGGGGAGUACGGCCGCAAGGCUAAAACUCAAAGGAAUUGACGGGGGCCCGCACAAGCGGCGGAGCAUGCGGAUUAAUUCGAUGCAACGCGAAGAACCUUACCAAGGCUUGACAUAUAGAAGAACGCGCCAGAAAUGGUGAACUCUUUGGACACUUCUAUACAGGUGGUGCAUGGUUGUCGUCAGCUCGUGUCGUGAGAUGUUCGGUUAAGUCCGGCAACGAGCGCAACCCUCGUCCUAUGUUGCCAGCGGGUUUAUGCCGGGGACUCAUGGGAUACUGCCGUGGUCAACACGGAGGAAGGUGGGGAUGACGGUCAAAUCAUCAUGCCCCUUAUGUCUUGGGCUUCACGCAUGCUACAAUGGCCGGUACAGAGGGUUGCGAUACCGCGAGGUGGAGCGAAUCCCGAAAAAGCCGGUCUCAGUUCGGAUUGGGGUCUGCAACUCGACCCC